GGACUACCGGGGUAUCUAAUCCCGUUCGCUCCCCUGGCUUUCGCGUCUCAGCGUCAGAAAACGUCCAGGACCUCGCUUUCGCCACGGGCGUUCCUUCCGAUCUCAACGCAUUUCACCGCUCCACCGGAAGUUCCAGGUCCCCCUACGUCCCUCCAGGAAGGUCGUAUCCGCGCCCGUUCCCCGGUUGAGCCGGGGGCUUUCAACGUCGGACGUGCCCUCCCGCCUACACGCGCUUUAAGCCCAGUGAUUCCGAAUAACGUUCGCACGGUUCGUCUUACCGCGGCUGCUGGCAC
rnacentral:rRNA from 1 species